UGAAGUGGCAAGCAACCCAGCAACCAUCACAAUAUUCCAACCCAUCCUUUAUUCACUGGCUGAAGGAAUAAGAGUGAAUGCUCUUCUGAUCAUCAUUCCAGCUAAAUAAGUGCUUUCCUUUUGCCUGUUGCAAAUCCUCCCAAUGCAAUCGUUUUUUCCUAUGGUCACCUCACUGUUCCAGACAUGGUAUAAGCAGGACUGGGAACUAACCUAAUAAGAAUGGUAACCUUAUGGUUUGGACUUUAUACGUGGGGAAUACCAAUGUUUGAUCUGAACAGGUUUCCUGAGUGGGCAACACACAGCAACAGUUCAUCUGUAUUAACACCCUGAAUGCAUUUUUCU